GAAAUGCGAUACGUGAUGUGAAUUGCAGAUUUUGUGAAUCAUCGAAACUUUGAACGCACAUUGCGCCUGUUGGUAUGCCUUCAGGCACGUCUGUUUGAGCGUUGUUAAAAAUCUCGGGUGAACCGGUGAUGGUGGAAGCAUGCUCCGCCGAAAUAACUCAGCAAGAGGCUAACGCGGCGAAACGCGGGGUGGCUCACACGCUGUUCGGCAAUCUUUUUGCCACAACUCUCUUCUUCUCAACCUCAAAUCAGACGGGGAUACCCGCUGGACUUAA
rnacentral:misc_RNA from 1 species